rnacentral:rRNA from 1 species
ACGGAAGGCAGCAGUGGGGAAUAUUGGACAAUGGGGGAAACCCUGAUCCAGCGACGCCGCGUGAGUGAAGAAGUAUUUCGGUAUGUAAAGCUCUAUCAGCAAGGAAGAAAAUGACGGUACUUGACUAAGAAGCCCCGGCUAACUACGUGCCAGCAGCCGCGGUAAUACGUAUGGAGCAAGCGUUAUCCGGAUUUACUGGGUGUAAAGGGUGCGUAGGCGGCAUGGCAAGUCAGAUGUGAAAGACCGGGGCUCAACUCCGGGGCUGCAUUUGAAACUGCCAGGCUGGAGUACAGGAGAGGCAGGCGGAAUUCCUAGUGUAGCGGUGAAAUGCGUAGAUAUUAGGAGGAACACCAGUGGCGAAGGCGGCCUGCUGGACUGUUACUGACGCUGAGGCGCGAAAGCGUGGGGAGCAAACAGGAUUAGAUACCCUGGUA